GGCGGGAGGGAGGGGCGGCGCGCGGCUCGGGCGGGCACUGUGCUUCCGGCCGCGGCGCCCUCCUCAGCCUACUCCUCCCUCCUCUCCGCGGCCGGGGGCGGGGUCGCCGUCCGCUCCGCCCCCUUCCUCCUUCCUUCCAGCAGAAGGGCAAGAGCGAGCCCUGGUGGGCCGAGCGGAGGGUGCAGCGUGCCGCCUGCGCGUCGCCUGUAGGGUCGCCUAACGUGCUCAGCCCGCCUGCGGCCCUUCCCGCCAAAACCUCGCCCGCAGGAGACUGCUGCGCUAAAUUUGGAACCCGAGGAACACCGUGACUGAGCAACGCGUUGCUCACAGCCUCUUUUCUUUGUGCUCUUUUUAGCCCCCUUCUCGUUACUAUAUAAGUCUCUCCACUUUUUAACGUCUGUGAGGAUUUCUACUCACAGCAGUCGGUCACUUACAAAAAGAAUGCCAGCUCUGACGAGACCCUAGAGAUGAUUAAAAUCCGGAAUUCGGAAUUAUCGAUGGGUUUCGAAGCCUGGAACCCCUAAAACAUGAUGCAGCAGGCUGCUAGAAUGAAGAGAGUUGCCAACGUCACACAGUUCAGGAAACUGACGUAUGGAGUGCUUAAAGUCAUUGGGUAAAGUUUGGUUGAAGAAUAGGGUAUUUAUACAGUCUCAAAAUAUCUUUGGAUUUAAAAAGGUCAUUACAGAGGAUUAACAAACGUACCUUUACAGUGGAGAAAUCUGACACUCUCCUGAGAGAAUAUCCAAGUUACCAAUUGGAGUUAAAUAACACAAAGAGCCCCCGGUAUGAGGGGAAGUGUUGCAGUUCUGCUCCCAUCUGCUCCAGCUGGCUGGACCUCACUCUAAUGAAACUGUCACAUGGCACAACAAACCUCACUUAAGAGAUUUAUUGGGAAAGAAGAAUCCAGGAGGUUGGCUGCCUCUGGGGUGAGGUGGCUGCAGACUGAAUAAGGAGCCUUCAUGCAGUACUACUUGACAGCUUUUGCUUUGGUUGUUGCUUUUUGCUGUCAUAUCCAAGAAAUCACUGCUGAGACUGGCAUCAAGAAUAUUUCACCUAUGUUUCCCUUUUGGGGUUUUAUGCUUUCAGGGUUUAUACCUAAGUCUUUAGUUUACACUGAGUUGGUUUUUGUGUGUAGCACAAGAUAGAGAUCCAGUUUCAGGCUUUUGUUUGUGGCUCUCUAGUUCUCCGAAUACCAUUAGUGCAAGAGGCUAUCCUUUCCUGUUGCUUUUGUGAUUUAAUUUUAGGUGCUCUGUUUUGUUCCAUUGGCCUCUAUUUGUUUUUAUGAUAGUAUCAGUACUGUCUUCAUAAUUUUAAAAUCAGAAAGGUUUGAGACCUCCAACUUUAUUCUUGUUUCCCAGUAUUGUUUGGUGAUCCAGAAUCUUUGUGAUUCCAUGUAAAUACACAUUCUUCCCAAGUGCUCAUGGGUCAUUCCCUAAGAUGGAGCACACUUCAAGUAAUAAAACAAGUCUUAAAACAUUUAAGAAAGCCGGGUGGUGGCACACACCCCUCAUCCCAGCACUUGGGAAGCAGGGGCAGGUGGAGCUCUGUGAGUUUGAGGCCAGUCUAGUCUACAGAGCUAGUUCCAGGACAGUGAGGGCUGUUACAUAGAGAAACCCUGUCUCAAAAACAAAACAAAACAAAACAAAAACAAAGAGGAGAAGGAGAAGGAGUAGGAGAAGAAGAAGAAGAAGAAGAAGAAGAAGAUUGAAGCAUGCAAAUAUGUCUUCCAGCCACAGUGAAAUUAAACUAGAAAUCAGUAACAAAAUGAAAAUUAUAAAAUACAAAAAUAUAUGGAAAUUAAAAUGCACAUUUCUGAAAGAAAACCACCAAUGGAUCAAAGAAUAAAUUGCGAUUAGAAAACA